GUUUCGGUGGUGUAGUUGGUUAUCACACCUGCCUAACACGUAGGAGGUCUCCAAUUCGAACCUGGACGGAAACA